rnacentral:tRNA from 1 species
GCGCCCGUAGCUCAACCGGAUAGAGCAGCUGAUUUCUAAUCCGCAGGUUGGGGGUUCGAGUCCUCCCGGGCGCGCCA